UUGAACGCUGGCGGCAGGCUUAACACAUGCAAGUCGAGCGGAGAGAGGUAGCUUGCUACUGAUCUUAGCGGCGGACGGGUGAGUAAUACUUAGGAAUCUGGCUAUUAGUGGGGGACAACAUUUCGAAAGGGAUGCUAAUACCGCAUACGUCCUACGGGAGAAAGCAGGGGAUCUUCGGACCUUGCGCUAAUAGAUGAGCCUAAGUCGGAUUAGCUAGUUGGUGGGGUAAAGGCCUACCAAGGCGACGAUCUGUAGCGGGUCUGAGAGGAUGAUCCGCCACACUGGGACUGAGACACGGCCCAGACUCCUACGGGAGGCAGCAGUGGGGAAUAUUGGACAAUGGGGGGAACCCUGAUCCAGCCAUGCCGCGUGUGUGAA
rnacentral:rRNA from 1 species